rnacentral:lncRNA from 1 species
GCCUUUUGUGCCUGCCCAGCCCUCUCCGCGCCGGCUUGAGGCUUGCAGAUCCGUCAGAGGGACCAGAACUGCGGUUAACUCACAGCAUCCUGCGUAAGUCAAGAGCCAGAUGGAGACAGGUGAACACAUUUGAUGAAGCACGCCUAAGGGGCAUUGCUCUGUGUUUCUCCGGCAGCAGCUUGAUAACUGGUAGCAUUGGGACUGCCCUUCUGUGGAGAGUCCCUGAAGACACAUGGAACAGGUCCUUUGUGAGUCGAAGGUUACGUGGUGUCUUCUGCCUGUAUCAGAGAAAACUUAGAGUCUGGAAGAAUUUGCUGCCUCCGUGGAAUGUCCAUGUCUGGGAUAAAUUGAACGUCUGA